rnacentral:rRNA from 1 species
GAUCCUGGCUCAGAUUGAACGCUGGCGGCAGGCCUAACACAUGCAAGUCGAGCGGUAGAGAGAAGCUUGCUUCUCUUGAGAGCGGCGGACGGGUGAGUAAUACCUAGGAAUCUGCCUGAUAGUGGGGAUAACGUUCGGAAACGGACGCUAAUACCGCAUACGUCCUACGGGAGAAAGCAGGGGACCUUCGGGCCUUGCGCUAUCAGAUGAGCCUAGGUCGGAUUAGCUAGUUGGUGAGGUAAUGGCUCACCAAGGCUACGAUCCGUAACUGGUCUGAGAGGAUGAUCAGUCACACUGGAACUGAGACACGGUCCAGACUCCUACGGGAGGCAGCAGUGGGGAAUAUUGGACAAUGGGCGAAAGCCUGAUCCAGCCAUGCCGCGUGUGUGAAGAAGGUCUUCGGAUUGUAAAGCACUUUAAGUUGGGAGGAAGGGCAUUAACCUAAUACGUUGGUGUCUUGACGUUACCGACAGAAUAAGCACCGGCUAACUCUGUG